rnacentral:rRNA from 1 species
AGGUUAAGUUAACAAGGGCGCAUGGUGAAUGCCUUGGCACUAGGAGCCGAUGAAGGACGGGACUAACACCGAUAUGCUUCGGGGAGCUGUACGUAAGCUAUGAUCCGGAGAUUUCCGAAUGGGGCAACCCAGCAGUUUUAAUCAACUGUUACCACUAGAUGAAUUCAUAGUCUAGUUGGAGGUAAACGCUGUGAACUGAAACAUCUCAUUAGCAGCAGGAAUAUAAAGAAAUUUCGAUUCCCUAAGUAGCGGCGAGCGAACGGGGAACAGCCCAAACCAAAGUGCUUGCACUUUGGGGUUGUAGGACUGAACAUUUGAGUUACCAAAGAACUUGAUAGUCGAAGGAUUUGGGAAAAUCCGCCAUAGAUGGUGAUAGCCCAGUAGAUUAAAUCAAGUUCUCUCAGUUCAGGAUCCUGAGUACGGCGGAACACGUGAAAUUCCGUCGGAAUCCGGGAGGACCAUCUCCCAAGGCUAAAUACUACCUAGUGACCGAUAGUGAACCAGUACCGUGAGGGAAAGGUGAAAAGCACCCCGGGAGGGGAGUGAAAUAGUUCCUGAAACCAUGUGCCUACAAUAAGUCAGAGCGCGUUAAUGCGUGAUGGCGUGCCUUUUGUAGAAUGAACCGGCGAGUUAUGAUCCCGUGCAAGGUUAAGACUAAAAAGUCGGAGCCGUAGCGAAAGCGAGUCUGAAAUGGGCGUUUUGAGUACGAGGUUAUAGACCCGAAACCAGGUGACCUAUCCAUGUCCAGGUUGAAGGUGCGGUAAAACGCACUGGAGGACCGAACCCGUGUAAGUUGAAAAUUGCUGGGAUGAGGUGUGGAUAGCGGUGAAAUUCCAAACGAACUUGGAGAUAGCUGGUUCUCUCCGAAAUAGCUUUAGGGCUAGCCUCGGAAUUAGGAUCAUGGAGGUAGAGCACUAUUUGGACUAGGGGCCCGUCUUGGGUUACUGAAUUCAGAUAAACUCCGAAUGCCAUUGAUUCAUAUCCGGGAGUCAGACGAUGAGUGAUAAGAUCCACCGUCGAAAGGGGAACAGCCCAGACCAUCAGUUAAGGUCCCUAAAUGUAUGCUAAGUGGAAAAGGAUGUGGAGUUGCAUAGACAACUAGGAUGUUGGCUCAGAAGCAGCCACCAUUUAAAGAGUGCGUAAUAGCUCACUAGUCGAGUGAUCCUGCGCCGAAAAUGUACCGGGGCUAAGCAUACUACCGAAACCAUGGAUGCGACCAUUAGGUCGCGUGAUAGGAGAGCGUUCUAAGGGCGGUGAAGCAAGAUCGUGAGGACUUGUGGAGCGCUUAGAAGUGAGAAUGCCGGUAUGAGUAGCGAAAGAUAGGUGAGAAUCCUAUCCACCGAAUGACUAAGGUUUCCUGGGGAAGGCUCGUCCUCCCAGGGUUAGUCGGGACCUAAGUCGAGGCCGAGAGGCGUAGACGAUGGAUAACAGGUUGAGAUUCCUGUACUAGUUAAGUGCGUUUGAGCAAUGGAGGGACGCAGGAGGCUAAGAUGUGCAUUCUGUUGGAUUAGAAUGUCCAAGCAGUAAGUCUUGUGAAGAGUCAAAUGCUUUUCACUUUAAGGACAAGCUGUGAUGGGGAGCGAAAUUUAGUAGCGAAGCGUCUGAUGUCACACUGCCGAGAAAAGCUUCUAGUGAGUACUUAACUACCCGUACCGCAAACCGACACAGGUAGUCGAGGAGAGAAUCCUAAGGUGAGCGAGUGAACUCUCGUUAAGGAACUCGGCAAAAUGACCCCGUAACUUCGGGAGAAGGGGUGCUGAUCGCAAGAUCAGCCGCAGUGAAUAGGCCCAGGCGACUGUUUAUCAAAAACACAGGUCUCUGCAAAAUCGUAAGAUGACGUAUAGGGGCUGACGCCUGCCCGGUGCUGGAAGGUUAAAAGGAUGGGUUAGCUUCGGCGAAGCUCAGAAUUGAAGCCCCAGUAAACGGCGGCCGUAACUAUAACGGUCCUAAGGUAGCGAAAUUCCUUGUCGGGUAAGUUCCGACCCGCACGAAAGGCGUAACGAUCUGGGCACUGUCUCAACGAGAGACUCGGUGAAAUUAUAUUGUCCGUGAAGAUGCGGACUACCCGCGACAGGACGGAAAGACCCCAUGGAGCUUUACUGUAGCUUGAUAUUGAGUGUUUGUACAGCUUGUACAGGAUAGGUAGGAGCCAUAGAAACCGGAACGCUAGUUUCGGUGGAGGCGUUGGUGGGAUACUACCCUCGCUGUAUGACCACUCUAACCCGCACCACUAAUCGUGGUGGGAGACAGUGUCAGGUGGGCAGUUUGACUGGGGCGGUCGCCUCCUAAAAAGUAACGGAGGCGCCCAAAGGUUCCCUCAGAAUGGUUGGAAAUCAUUCGCAGAGUGUAAAGGCACAAGGGAGCUUGACUGCGAGACAGACAGGUCGAGCAGGGACGAAAGUCGGGCUUAGUGAUCCGGUGGUACCGUAUGGAAGGGCCAUCGCUCAACGGAUAAAAGCUACCCUGGGGAUAACAGGCUUAUCUCCCCCAAGAGUCCACAUCGACGGGGAGGUUUGGCACCUCGAUGUCGGCUCAUCGCAUCCUGGGGCUGUAGUCGGUCCCAAGGGUUGGGCUGUUCGCCCAUUAAAGCGGUACGCGAGCUGGGUUCAGAACGUCGUGAGACAGUUCGGUCCCUAUCCGUCGCGGGCGUAGGAAAUUUGAGAGGACCUGUCCUUAGUACGAGAGGACCGGGAUGGACAUACCUCUGGUGUACCAGUUGUGCCGCCAGGCGCAUCGCUGGGUAGCUACGUAUGGAUGUGAUAAACGCUGAAAGCAUCUAAGUGUGAAACACACCUCAAGAUGAGAUUUCCCAUUCCUUUAUGGAAGUAAGACCCCUGAAAGAUGAUCAGGUAGAUAGGUUAGAAGUGGCAGUGCGGUGACGCAUGAAGCGGACUAAUACUAAUCGGUCGAGGACUUAACCAAG